ACCAAACCUAAAUGCUGUAUUUUAUUGUAGUGAACAUUUUUUUAAAGUUGUUGUAUGUCAAUAUACAUGUAUUAUAUAUGUUCUAGUUUGUGAUUGGGGGGGGGGGGGGUUGUUUAAAUGAUACAAUGGACAUUUUUUUAAAGUAGAUAACUUUAAUUUGUAUGUCAAUAUAUUAUAUAUGUACAGCUGAAUGAUGCCUUAAAUGAUCUAAGUCCUGUAUACUUACAAUGUUAUUACAAGUUACACCAUGGGAUAGUGGAGUAAGGCAAAUGUUAUAUAGGCCAUGUGGUUACUCCUUUGAUGCAACUCUUUGUAUUGGGUUUAUGAUGCAUUUUGUAAGAAUAUACCUAUAUGUGCACUAAUGGUGGAUUUAGCACAUUUCUCCCUCAUUAAACUGAGUUGCAUUGAUCAGGUAGAUAGAAAAUUCAUGUUUAUGUAAAUAGUUUUGGAGGAAUAUUGUGACCAAGUUUUAGUUUACUUAUUUUUUUUUCUUUCUUUGUAUUUACGCUUUCCAUGAAAUACAUACUACUUAUAUACAAAUGAUGUUUGGUGAGUCGUAGCAAUCUGUAGAUAGAACUCAAUAAAUGUGAUAUUUCU
rnacentral:misc_RNA from 1 species